UUGUGUCCACGGAACGUCAGCGAAGGUAUUAAGACCGAUUAUAUAGAAACUUAUAUAUAAAACAAUUCGUUUGCUUUUGACAAUGAAAUCUGACGGUUGCGAAGUGAGAUUUAUCAACGAUGCAACGAUGGAUUAUUCGCGGUCAAUGCCUACAAAAAGGGAGAUUUAAUUAUUAAAGAAAAUCCCUUGGUCGGUUGUCAAUUUCUUUGGAAUCAAGAUUACGGCCAUACAGAAGAGUAAGUUACGUGCCUAACAAAAAGUACAGAUUUUGCACUACCGUAUCCUGAAUUUUGCCAGAUAGAUACAGCGGCCAUUGCAGUAUGUGAAGCUUGUGGCACCAAAUAUUGCAGUUCCGACUGUCGGAAUGAAGCUUUGACGAGUUAUCAUCAAAGUCUCUGCUUGCUAACAAAAGAUAAAGUUGAUUCCCAUCCACUUGUUGAAUUGCAAGAAUUACAUGGAAAGAAAUGCAUCCCAGACCAGAGUUCAUGGAUAUUAUGUUGAUACCCCUAACAGUUGCUAUGAUCAAUCAGGCAUCGGAUAAACAAGUUAUGAUUUCGACAUUUUAUCAACAAGAAUUUAGACAUACAGAAGGAUGUGCUUUAUAUACCUUGACUUCACAUAUAUGGAGAGUUAAUAAAAAGUUAGACAUUGCGCUGUCAAAGGUUACCUUCAAAAUUCAAGGUCGUGACACUAGCAGUCUAAUUGUAAUAGCUACAAAAGACAUACAGCCUGGAGAACAAAUAUCGGAGUGGAGAUCUGAGUAUAUUAACAAAAGUUCAUCAUAUAUUUAAGGGAAUUAUCUUGUCUUAAAUAAAUUAUUUCUUUGAAAAAAGAUUGUUUGUGG